rnacentral:misc_RNA from 1 species
UCUCCGUUGGUGAACCGGCGGAGGGAUCAUUACAGGAUCGAAAGACUCCUAUAACCCCUGUGAACUUACUACAAAUACGUUGCUUCGGCGGGUGCCCCGGGUCUCCCGGGGCGUUCAGCCCGCCGGCAGCCUUCAAAUUCUGUUUCUUUGCGUUGGCAUCUCGAGUAUACAAAAAUAAGUUAAAACUUUCAACAACGGAUCUCUUGGUUCUG